AUCUUAUCCAGAGAGGUGGAGGGACUGACCCGAUGAUACCCGGCAACCAGCAGGAAUGCAUGGUGCUAAUUUCAGCAGAACAGUAUGUUCUGAAAGAUGAGAG
rnacentral:ncRNA from 2 species